rnacentral:rRNA from 1 species
UACGUAGGGACCAAGCGUUGUUCGGAUUUACUGGGCGUAAAGGGCGCGUAGGCGGCAAUUCAAGUCAGCUGUGAAAUCUCCGGGCUUAACUCGGAACGGUCAGCUGAUACUGUUUUGCUAGAGUGCAGAAGGGGCAACCGGAAUUCUUGGUGUAGCGGUGAAAUGCGUAGAUAUCAAGAGGAACACCUGAGGUGAAGACGGGUUGCUGGGCUGACACUGACGCUGAGGCGCGAAAGCUAGGGUAGCAAACGGG